UAUAAGACAAGUCGGAAAGUUUUUCGCUAAGGGAUCAGUCUAUGUUCCAUCAGCUUGUUGGUGAGGUAAUGGCUCACCAAGGCUAUGACGGAUAUCUGGUUUGAGAGGAUGAUCAGACACACUGGAACUGAGACACGGUCCAGACUCCUACGGGAGGCAUCAGUGAGGAAUAUUGCACAAUGGAGGAAACUCUGAUGCAGCAACGCCGCGUGGAGGAUGACGCAUUUCGGUGUGUAAACUCCUUUUAUUAGGGAAGAUAAUGACGGUACCUAAUGAAUAAGCACCGGCUAACUCCGUGCCAGCAGCCGCGGUAAUACGGAGGGUGCAAGCGUUACUCGGAAUCACUGGGCGUAAAGGGUGCGUAGGCUGGCUCUUAAGUCAGAUGUGAAAUCCAAUGGCUCAACCAUUGAACUGCAUUUGAAACUGAAAGCCUAGAGUUCAGAAGGGGCAGAUGGAAUUAGUGGUGUAGGGGUAAAAUCCGUAGAUAUCACUAGGAAUAUCAAAAGCGAAGGCGAUCUGCUGGG
rnacentral:rRNA from 1 species